GAUGAAGAACGUAGCGAAAUGCGAUAAGUAAUGUGAAUCGCAGAAUUCAGUGAAUCAUCGAAUCUUUGAACGCACAUUGCGCCCCCUGGUAUUCCGGGGGGCAUGCCUGUCCGAGCGUCAUUACAACCCUCAAGCUCAGCUUGGUAUUGGGCCCCGCCGCUCCGGCGGGCCCUAAAGUCAGUGGCGGUGCCGUCCGGCUCCGAGCGUAGUAAUUCUUCUCGCUCUGGAGGUCCGGUCGUGUGCUCGCCAGCAACCCCCAAUUUUUUUCAGGUUGACCUCGGAUCAGGUAGGGAUACCCGCUGAACUUAAGCAUAUCAAUAAGCGGAGGA
rnacentral:misc_RNA from 1 species